rnacentral:misc_RNA from 1 species
GAUGAAGAACGUAGCGAAAUGCGAUAAGUAGUGUGAAUUGCAGAAUUCAGUGAAUCAUCGAAUCUUUGAACGCACAUUGCGCCCUUUGGUAUUCCAAAGGGCAUGCCUGUUCGAGCGUCAUUUGUACCCUCAAGCUUUGCUUGGUGUUGAGCGUCUUGUCUCUAGCUUUGCUGGAGACUCGCCUUAAAGUAAUUGGCAGCCGGCCUACUGGUUUCGGAGCGCAGCACAAGUCGCACUCUCUAUCAGCAAAGGUCUAGCAUCCAUUAAGCCUUUUUUUUCGACUUUUGACCUCGGAUCAGGUAGGGAUACCCGCUGAACUUAAGCAUAUCAAUAAGCGGAGGA